rnacentral:lncRNA from 1 species
GACUGUCUGUAAAAGCCAACCGACAAAAUGUUAUAAUAUAUUUCUAUUUAUAGCUUAAUUCUUCCACGGGGAAGAUUGGAAGGUACUUCCAAGACAAAGAGGUAAUUAACAUCAAAUACAGAAGAGUCUGCAGAAAGUACAUGCUGUAACAAGAACUCUGCUGAGAUGAGAGUAAAUAAUGCUGCCUACUCUGAAAUAAUAAAAUGAUGAUGAAUCCAGAGCAACCAUCAAAUAUUUAUGGAAAAAAUUCCAUUAAAAUUCUUGAGAAGUAGGACCUCAGUCAGAUCCUUGGAUGCUGAAAAUUGACAAAGAUCUGUUGAAUUCAGUGGUGGUAAGCUGAUUUACCUCAUCAGAAGUGACAGUUUAUAGCAGCAAAAGCUGGAAGACCAUGCUCCCUCUGGAUUUCAUGGGGAAAGAUGCACAGUUUAAGCAACCAGUGAUUUACUGAAACCAGC